GGCAGUGGUUGAUUGGUUUUCAACUUGGCAGGAACCAGUCUGUCUUGGCCCAGUGUUGGACGCUAAAUUCAGUAACAGAAGCUCGCCAGGUUGAGAACUCGAUGUACUCAGCCAUUGGCUGCAGGGUCUGGGCCCAGUUCUGAUCGCUACACAGACCAUACAAACUUCCCCUGGAGGCCCACGAUGCCAGCCCAGCAGGAUAUGAACUGGACCUCCAUCCUGAACACACUUCAGGCCAACUCUGGAGAAAUUUCUAGGUGGAUUCAAGAGCCAAGCAGAGAAAAUACCAAAAAUUCAGGGUCCCAGCUGGCUGACCUAAAGGAUGAAGAGACUUCUGAGGCAGAACAAGCAUCUGACAGCAUUUGUAGCAGCAAAACAUCAGCACAAUUAAAACAAAACAGACCAGAAAACUGCUGAAGACAUCAUUCAGCAUGCAUCCCUUGUGAUUUCCUGCUGACUUCUGGAAGGGCCUGCAUUGAUCUGGUAAACACUGCGUCAGAGAUGUGAAAGAUUCAGAAGAGCCCCAUGGACCAUUUUCUAAGCAACUCAACUCCACAAGAAAGACUUCAAAAUUCGUGUCCGUUGCCCCCAUUGCUACAAAGCUGUUGCCUCUUCUCAACUGUGCAACAAAUGUAAGAGUCAUUUUUCAUCCAUAAAAGCAUGUGUGUGUAGGUUUUGGUGUCACGUGUACAAAUGUGUCUGAUGCCAAGAAUCUGGGCAACCCUAGAAAGUAAAUGUAUUUGUGGGAGUCAGUGCCCUCCCUUGACCUGGCACACAAAAGGUGCUCGAUUAAUGUCGAUCAGUGAUUGAAUGACUGGGCUCUCAAGCUUGCAGUGCGACUCAUGAAUAAAUCUAUUUAAAAAGACAGAGAACACAAGCUACUUGCUGUCCAAUGGAUGAGCUGAUGCAAAUGGAAAAAGAAAACAAAAUUAAUUGAGCCUGAAUUUAUCUGGGGAAGAGGAGCCAUCACCAACAGCAGCAGGAAGUACUAUAAAAAAUGGCAAGAAUAGUUCUGCACUAGUUUUGGGGGCUUAUUCUAACACUCCGCCAUUUUUAUCCCUAAUA
rnacentral:lncRNA from 1 species